AAAGCGGUUUGUCGUCCCCCAAAACGCUGGGUGCUUUAGGCCAAAGAGGGAAGGAGAGCGCUGCAUAACGUGGAUAUUAACUUACAGUCCAUUGAAAACAAAGCUUAAAAUACAUAAUAUCGUCUGGCAUCGAUGAAGGUGUUCAUCGACACCUGCACGACUCUAUACAGACUGGCCCACAAAAUAACUACAGUUGAGUACUGAAGACUUUGGAUGCCGUUGACUCAAAAACACAUGCUACAACCACUAGUCAUCAACUCAACAGUCCCACGAGAUGGUGUGGUAAAGGUGGCCUGUAAGGACAAGAGCUGUGGAGGUCAGAACGGACAGGAAGCGGCUGUUUGUUUGUCUGGACACUUGUUUGUGAGUCUGGCCAUUAUCCUCCUCAUUAAUUCUGAUGUUAAAUAGCCUAGCUCAAGAUUGGGAAGGUUAUACUGACCUCACACUUCUCCAUAACAGUAUGUUUGAAUUAUUUUAGCCCUCACAGUGGCCGACUUCAACUCUUUGUUAGGGCGGCAAUCAUGUUUACACCCUAAACAACAAGGGAUUUGCCACACUAGUGGCUUUUAUCCUCCAAGAUGUUUUGUUUGAAUGCUGCUUGAUUUUUUUUGUCAUUUGUUGAACACUAUCCGGCUUGAUUUAAG
ensembl:lncRNA